UCUAUUUUUUUAUGUUACCUAGAGCAAGACCUCUAGCUAACUUCCAACUGGUGCCAUUCUAGCAAAUAACACUUACUUUUCACACCCAAUCAAUGAUGGAUAAAAAUGAAGUUAUCUCCUACUUUUUCCCUUCAUUGAAUAUGUCGUAUUAGCUCAGUAAAUGGCUUGCGAGCCCAUUUCAAGUUGACAUUAAAAACACCUACCUUUAUUGUCCUUUCUGUCUAAACAUGAGAUUUUACUGAGAUGUCACAAACCCAUAUCGGUGUGCUUUAUCACUGCUCUUUUGCUAUCACUGCACUGCAUGAAAUUACAUUUGUUAUGAAACUGGCCCACCAUCUUCCACACAAUCCAAUUUCUAGAAAGCAAGUGGACCAUGUAAGUAAUUAUAAGGAUCUCUCUGGUCUAACAAAGGGUGGUAUAUCCACGAACCUUCUCAUUUGUACAUCUCAUUGGAGUCUUUUCCGUCAUUAAAAACACUGUAAUUCCAAUCUGCAUUUUUGCAGCUGUCUAAGAUGCAGUAAGCCUUAUGAUUUGUAACAUCAUAAGAUCAGAUAACUAUGAAAAGAGUAAUCCAUAUUAUUGUAGUAUUUCAGUGCACCCAAAUCACGAUGUGCAGUAAAUAUUAUGACAAGCUUUGAAAUUGUGAGGCAGACGCUGAAAGAAGAUUAGUAGCUGCAACAAACUGCCCUCUUGUCUCAACAAAGUUUGCUUUUUUUUUUUUUUUUAUUUCUAGUGAGCAACUUGGUGGCAAACUAAACUUCUUUCCACCCCCGGCUGCUCUUUUUGCCUGACCCCUGCCGUUCAUGGUGAGUAAUUAAAAUUAAUUAACUUGUCUGGUGUGUGCCUGAAACCAAUUACCCCAAUGUAAACUUGCUUGUUUUCAUGCGAGUGUUUUUUGGGCAGCUUGUUAAGCUGCAGUGGCCUCUUCUGGGGGAGUGAGAGAUGAUGGAUGUUUACCUGCACUGAGGAAGAAGUCACCGGGUGCGUCUGGAAAUAAGUUCUAUGGAUGCCAAUGUACAACUGGCAAACAGGACUACAGAUGAAAAUUAGCCAUCGGCUAACUCUGGCAUGUUACAGGUGUACUGUUGUACUGUAUGCAUUGUCCUGAUAAAUAAAAUAAACUUCUGAGGUUGAAGAUCAA